GCCAAGCCGAGGCAGCGGGUCAGCGGGAGCUGUCCCCACAGAAAGCAUGCGGUGUCACGCAGGGACCCGAGACUGCAUUUAGUCCUGCUCACCUCAGCUGUCCACAGGUUAUAAUUAUGGCACUCUGCAAAAUUAAGGCGAACUGAAAAGUCCAGGCAUUAAAGACAGAAUUUCUUUCUUUUCCUUGGAGAAGCACGCAAAGACGGCAAUUGGAAUCAACCACCAGUGUCAACAUUCAGCCUUAAAACUGCAAGCAAAAGUGUUCGCCGGCAGAUUGGAAGCCAAGGUGGAGGAGCUGUGGGAUUGUUCUUGGUCGACUUCCUAAACCCCAAGGGCUGUACCGUAUAAAAGGAGCUGCAGCUUGUGCUCAUUACAAGCCCAUGCCUUCAACUAAAAUAUACAAUAGCAUAAAGACCACUGAGGAGGACACAACCUUCUUGCCAAGAGGAAACAGUGAAAGCAUUUUUGAUGCUCAAAGAUCAGCCUCUGUCCACCUCUGCAUGCCAGAACAGAGCUGAGGACUACAAACCUAUUUUUUCCUAAAGUAGUCAAGGGAGGAUUUGGAUACAAGCUGUGACAAUAAGGACUUACCACAGAGAGAAGUGUCUGCUUUCUUUGUAAAUGUUGGUUGGAUGGAUGGGAACUAAAAUGUUAGUGAAACAGUCACUUUUUUCAAACUACUAUUCAAAUUAUUCUCAUCAUUAACAUAAAAACUGUUAGUGUUUUGACUGACGAUUUAACUAUACUUGGCAGAAAGUCACAGAAAGAAAAUGUAUAGCAGACUAUUAGCAUUUUCACUCCUUGUUAAAGAUUUAAAGAAUAAAAAAGCCCUAAAAAUAUAACCAGUUAUACUUUACUCCUAAAACAACUAAAUGUGGGAGAAAAUGUUCCUACAAUGGAAGCGGCUCUUACACACUGAAUAGCAGCUGGUAGGGGCCUAUUUAGAAGACUUUUGUGUGAAUGCCGUGCUGAACAAAAUGUGGAAUUUAAGCUGUUGUUAAAUGCAGAUAAAGGUCAGAGAUCAUGAUCUCCAGAAACCAUCGUCUGCAAUAUUUCUAACUUCCUUUAUGCUAAGGAGGAAUUUGCACUGCAAAAAGUAGAGGAAUCAGUGCAAAAUAAGGUUUUCUUGGCAACCAUAAGAUAUUUACUGCUGCUAACAAAGACUAGCAUACAAAUGUGUUUGAAAUUCAGACACAGACAACUGUUGGAGAAGAAUUGCAGCACGGUGUUUGUCCUACAUCAACUGGCUGUUAGGAAAAGAAUUUAUCAGUCAUUUUUAUUUAGGAAGUUUCUCGUUCAUUACUAGAGCUGCUUUUUCUACCAGUUCAUUCCUAGAAUGUGUAAACUGUAUUUUUAUAGUCAUUUACAAAUAUGAAUAACAUUACAGAAAUUAUGGUUCAUACAUAUUAACAGGCCUGUCCCAUUUGCUUUUAUCAUAAAAUGAGUGUAAACAUUCUUACCCACAUUGGUGGGGAAACGGAAUAGCGCUCACCAUAGCACAUUUUUCACCUUGUUUAUUAAAAAAUGAACAUACGUAUUAUGUUUUGCACUGAGUAUUUUUAGUUUAUUUUUCAUAUAUCCUGCAAUGAAUCACAAAAAUGUGGUUUGGAUUUGACCUGUGCAGCUACAGACAUCCUAUCAUUCUUUUCACAUUCUACUGAAAACUAACAUGGCACAUGGUAUUUGACAGUGGAAUGAUUGGUGGUAUGAUGGGAUUGGUCCUGCAAACUUCACUCGAAUGGGUAUUACUGACAUCCUCUAAAUUACAGCCUGUUACAUUCAUACGUAGAUCUCUGGCUUGAUUACCAAGCAGUUGCCGUUAUGUGCUGUGAGGAUUGUGGGACUUCUCACAAACCUUGAAGGCAGCAUACUCAGGAACCUUUGUGAUGCUAGAGAUAAGUUUAGCAACACACAAAAAUAGUAUUGAUAAAAACAUACUGGCUGUACCAGCAAUGUGUACAUAAGUUUGCAAUAGGAACAUGAGCUUGCACACCAUUGCCACAUUUAAAAAGUGCAUUUUAUCAUUUAUUUAAAUAUACUUGUUUUGUCUUGAAACAAUUUUGGAAUAGCUGCUUUAACUGACUUGGAAAUGUAGCCUUUUUUUCCACUCACUGAUUACUGCGAGAUCUUGCUACUUUACUGAACUAACAAAAGUAAUUUUUUUUAUCUUGAAAAGCCUGAGAAGUCUACAGUCAGGUUGCUUGUAUACUGGGUUUCUUUUGUCCAGUGAGACCUGUGCAAAAUUACAAAAUACUUUAACUUUUCAAAUGUACAUAGUCAUAAUGUUUAUGUAUAAGAGCACCAAAGCUUAGUUCUAUUUAACAUAUGUAUGAUUAACAAAAAUAUAGCUAAUGAUUCCAAACUCUCUUGAAUGUUUUCAAAGAAGCAUUUAUCCAAAGAAAGUCAAACUGCAUAGGAUUAACUCAUGAUUGUGAUGGUAAUUUAAAUCCAUUCUUUUAAAGGAAAAAUGUACAUAGAAAGAACUUUAUGUAUGUAUGGGCAUGCACGGACACACUUGCAAAUGUUUGCUGUUACAUUUCUUGUAGAUGUACAUGUAGAGCACAGAGUAAAUGUAUUGUUUACUACAUAAGGCCAAUUACAUUUAAUAGUAGCAAAAUUAAUAUAAUUUAUUUGGGGUUUCUGGGAAGACAUUCCUCAUGUAAGCUGUUUCUGAAUAAAUGUGGUUUAGUACAGG